AAGAGAGCGCGCGUCAGCCUCACGAGCAUCACCAUAAUCGAUAUAAUCAGUGGUUUGGAGAGUUUUCCACCUGUUGUAAAUGUGUAAGGCCUCAGAAAGAGUAGAACGCGAGGUAGUAACGAUAAAAAAUAAAUAAAUUAAUUUGUAGGCUUGACGGGCGAAUAUAGGGAGCAAAGGAGACGUUGUGGAUUACAGACGUGCUGCAUGUUGCAAUGCAUCGGUACAUUUCAUGUGUUCCGUGCACGAGGAUGCUGAUGGUGAUCCACGUUGCUCCACGAGAUGUAUGAUGCUGUCAUAACAUCAAGACCACAAAAGCACCACCACUCGGGACUAAUUGCGCGUUUAUGAGGGUUGGUUUCUCUCUUUGGUUAUCUAGCUGUAUGAGUUAUAACACAUUUCAUAAAGCUAGAUAACCGAAAAUAGAAAUAAUUCUCAAAAUCUGCUGAAAAUGCCACUCAAGUCUGAAAGAAGCCAGAGCUUUAUCUCAGUGUGCUUAUUUCCAUACACAAUAUGGCAAUGAAGUAAAAACAGGGGCACAUCCAUCAGAGAGAGUGUGAGAGAGAGAGUCUUGGAGGAACAUGGCAGCUUCCAGUUGCUACAUCUUUCCUUCUCCACCUACCCAGAAACCCCCAGUGCCAUCUGUGCCCCUGUGGGGUGCUGUAGAGAAUCCAUGCCAGUGCCAGCGGCGACGAAACCCUUGAGUCGCAGCGCCAAGACAGACGACAUAGGGAGGCCAUCUUGACGGAGAUCUUAAACGAGAAGCUAAGAUGGCUGGGCUGGCACAUGAGACUGGGCUGUGGACUUGACUCGGAGACACACUCUUGGCUCAUUGGAAGAAAUGAAGGAAAAUCGACUGUAAUUACGCAGCCUGAGAGAACAAUGGGAGAGCACCAUGUAGAAAGUUUAAGAGGCAUAAAAUCGUAAAAUCAUGAUGAUGGCGAUGUGUGUACAAAUGUGUGUGUGUGAGUGUGUAAGAGCAAGAGUAUUUUGUCUUUAUUGUUUAUUUAUUUAUUGGUUUAUUUAUUAUUGUCUUUAUUAUUACAAAUUAAAAACAAAAAAUGUUUUGAAUGAGCCAUUUGAAUAUUUCCAUUACAACCAUGUUUACAGAAGAUGCCCAUUUGUUUUAUAUAUAUAUAUAUAUAUAUAUAUAUAUAUAUAUAUAUAUAUAUUAUAAUUAAUUUGACAUUACAGUAUGUUCAUAAAUAAAAAUAUUUCUACA